rnacentral:rRNA from 1 species
GACGAACGCUGGCGGCGUGCUUAACACAUGCAAGUCGAACGGAAAGGCCCUGCUUUUGCGGGGUGCUCGAGUGGCGAACGGGUGAGUAACACGUGAGUAACCUGCCCUUGACUUUGGGAUAACUUCAGGAAACUGGGGCUAAUACCGGAUAGGAGCUCCUGCUGCAUGGUGGGGGUUGGAAAGUUUCGGCGGUUGGGGAUGGACUCGCGGCUUAUCAGCUUGUUGGUGGGGUAGUGGCUUACCAAGGCUUUGACGGGUAGCCGGCCUGAGAGGGUGACCGGCCACAUUGGGACUGAGAUACGGCCCAGACUCCUACGGGAGGCAGCAGUGGGGAAUAUUGCACAAUGGGCGGAAGCCUGAUGCAGCAACGCCGCGUGCGGGAUGACGGCCUUCGGGUUGUAAACCGCUUUCGCCUGUGACGAAGCGUGAGUGACGGUAAUGGGUAAAGAAGCACCGGCUAACUACGU